rnacentral:rRNA from 1 species
GACGAGGGAUCCUAGCGUUGUUCGGAAUCAUUGGGCGUAAAGCGGGUGUAGGCGGCUUUGUAAGUCAGAUGUGAAAGCCCUGGGCUCAACCCAGGAAGUGCAUUUGAUACUGCGGAGCUUGAGUGUGGGAGAGGCUAGUGGAAUUCCUGGUGUAGUGGUGAAAUACGUAGAUAUCAGGAGGAACAUCGGUGGCGAAGGCGGCUAGCUGGCCCAACACUGACGCUGAGAUCCGAAAGCGUGGGGAUCAAACAGG